AGAGUUUGAUCCUGGCUCAGGACGAACACUGGCGGCGCGCCUAACACAUGCAAGUCGAACGAGAGAGAGGGAGCUUGCUUCCUCAAUCGAGUGGCGAACGGGUGAGUAACGCGUGAGGAACCUGCCUCAAAGAGGGGGACAACAGUUGGAAACGACUGCUAAUACCGCAUAAGCCCACAGGUCGGCAUCGACCAGAGGGAAAAGGAGCAAUCCGCUUUGAGAUGGCCUCGCGUCCGAUUAGCUAGUUGGCGAGGUAACGGCCCACCAAGGCAACGAUCGGUAGCCGGACUGAGAGGUUGAACGGCCACAUUGGGACUGAGACACGGCCCAGACUCCUACGGGAGGCAGCAGUGGGGAAUAUUGCACAAUGGGGGAAACCCUGAUGCAGCGACGCCGCGUGGAGGAAGAAGGUCUUCGGAUUGUAACUCCUGUUGUUGAGGAAGACAAUGACGGUACUCAACAAGGAAGUGACGGCUAACUACGUGCCAGCAGCCGCGGUAAAACGUAGGUCACAAGCGUUGUCCGGAAUUACUGGGUGUAAAGGGAGCGCAGGCGGGAAGACAAGUUGGAAGUGAAAUCUAUGGGCUCAACCCAUAAACUGCUUUCAAAACUGUUUUUCUUGGGUAGUGCAGAGGUAGGCGGAAUUCCCGGUGUAGCGGUGGAAUGCGUAGAUAUCGGGAGGAACACCAGUGGCGAAGGCGGCCUACUGGGCACCAACUGACGCUGAGGCUCGAAAGUGUGGGUAGCAAACAGGAUUAGAUACCCUGGUAGUCCACACCGUAAACGAUGAUUACUAGGUGUUGGAGGAUUGACCCCUUCAGUGCCGCAGUUAACACAAUAAGUAAUCCACCUGGGGAGUACGACCGCAAGGUUGAAACUCAAAGGAAUUGACGGGGGCCCGCACAAGCAGUGGAGUAUGUGGUUUAAUUCGACGCAACGCGAAGAACCUUACCAAGUCUUGACAUCCUGCGACGCACAUAGAAAUAUGUGUUUCCUUCGGGACGCAGAGACAGGUGGUGCAUGGUUGUCGUCAGCUCGUGUCGUGAGAUGUUGGGUUAAGUCCCGCAACGAGCGCAACCCUUACUGUCAGUUACUACGCAAGAGGACUCUGGCAGGACUGCCGUUGACAAAACGGAGGAAGGUGGGGAUGACGUCAAAUCAUCAUGCCCUUUAUGACUUGGGCUACACACGUACUACAAUGGCGUUAAACAAAGAGAAGCAAGACCGCGAGGUGGAGCAAAACUCAGAAACAACGUCCCAGUUCGGACUGCAGGCUGCAACUCGCCUGCACGAAGUCGGAAUUGCUAGUAAUCGUGGAUCAGCAUGCCACGGUGAAUACGUUCCCGGGCCUUGUACACACCGCC
rnacentral:rRNA from 1 species